AGUGAACGCUGGCGGUAGGCCUAACACAUGCAAGUCGAACGGCAGCACAGUAAGAGCUUGCUCUUACGGGUGGCGAGUGGCGGACGGGUGAGGAAUACAUCGGAAUCUACUUUUUCGUGGGGGAUAACGUAGGGAAACUUACGCUAAUACCGCAUACGACCUACGGGUGAAAGCAGGGGAUCUUCGGACCUUGCGCGAUUGAAUGAGCCGAUGUCGGAUUAGCUAGUUGGCGGGGUAAAGGCCCACCAAGGCGACGAUCCGUAGCUGGUCUGAGAGGAUGAUGAGACGAACUGGAGUUGAGCCACGGUCCCGACCCGUACGGGAGGCAGGCGUGGCGGAUAUUGGAACAUGGGGGAAGGCUUGAUGCAGCCAUACCGCGUGGGUGAAGAGAGGCUUCGGGUUGAAUAGCCCUUUUGAUGGGAAGGAAAAUAUGCGGGCUUAUACCCCGCUGAGCUGACGGUACCUAAAAAAUAAGCACGGGGUAUCUUCAUG
rnacentral:rRNA from 1 species